GAAAAUGCCCUUAGGGUUCGCCUCUAUAUAAUUCCUCGAAAGCGUCUGUGGAUUCCGAAAUCGGCGCCGCAACGCAGAGCACGGAGAGAAGGGAACUCGUAGCGAUUUCUGUUGCAGAAACGAGAUGAGGGCAAAGUGGAAGAAGAAGCGUAUGAGGAGGCUCAAGAGGAAGCGCCGAAAGAUGCGGCAGAGAUCUAAGUAGGUCGGCACUGUCGAGCAGUCUUCAAUGGUGCAUUCCCUAUACUUGUGGUGCGGAUACUAUUUCCAUUCUCCACAUCUUAUGGAUUUGCAGCAGUGAAAAUGUUCUUUGAGUAGUGUUUUCUAGUCAUUUAACAUUAAAGAACUAAGUAUGUUGCUUUCAGUACUUUUGAAGAUUUUGUGAUAUUUGAAUCCAUGAAUUGGUUAUCGACUUCAUCUUUCUCAUUGA